GCAAUCGUGGCCAAGUGGUUAAGGCGAUGGACUCGAAAUCCAUUGGGGUCUCCCCGCACAGGUUCAAAUCCUGUCGACUGCG
rfam:Ixodes scapularis strain Wikel colony gcontig_1108378526406, whole genome shotgun sequence.